rnacentral:misc_RNA from 1 species
UACGUAUGGUGCGAACGUUGUUCGGAAUCACUGGGCAUAAAGAGCACGUAGGCGGUCUGGUAAGUCCGAUGUGAAAUCCCCCGGCUCAACCGGGGAACUGCAUCGGAUACUGCUGGGCUCGAGUGCAGGAGGGGAGAGUGGAAUUCCUGGUGGAGCGGUGAAAUGCGUAGAUAUCAGGAGGAACGCCGGUGGCGAAAGCGACUCUCUGGCCUGUAACUGACGCUGAGGUGCGAAAGCCAGGGGAGCAAACGGG